CAUUACUNAGUUUACGCUCUACAACCCUUUGUGAACAUACCUAUAACUGNUGCUUCGGCGGGUAGGGUCUCCGCGACACUCCCGGCCUCCCGCCCCCCGGGCGGGUCGGCGCCCGCCGGAGGAUAACCAAACUCUGAUGUAACGACGUUUCUUCUGAGUGGUACAAGCAAAUAAUCAAAACUUUUAACAACGGAUCUCUUGGUUCUGGCAUCGAUGAAGAACGCAGCGAAAUGCGAUAAGUAAUGUGAAUUGCAGAAUUCAGUGAAUCAUCGAAUCUUUGAACGCACAUUGCGCCCGCCAGCAUUCUGGCGGGCAUGCCUGUUCGAGCGUCAUUUCAACCCUCAAGCUCUGCUUGGUGUUGGGGCCCUACAGCUGAUGUAGGCCCUCAAAGGUAGUGGCGGACCCUCCCGGAGCCUCCUUUGCGUAGUAACUUUACGUCUCGCACUGGGAUCCGGAGGGACUCUUGCCGUAAAACCCCCAAUUCUCCAAAGGUUGACCUCGGAUCAGGUAGGAAUACCCGC
rnacentral:rRNA from 1 species